GACACCACUGAAGGGCAGAAACAGCACAAGCAGCAUGCAUGAUUGACAGCUGGCUCAGGAAGAUCCUGACCUUACGGUCCACGUCCAGGAUCUGAUGCUUAGAGUGAAAAGAACCAGAAUGGGAUACUCCACGACUGUCUCACCGACUCAGUGCCAGUACACAUGCUCUAGAGGACUUCUGGACUCGCAGCUACAACUGUACAAGUGCACACAAGAAAAUCUACCCUGUUAUCCUCCACCCACUGAUUGAGGAUCCAAUUGCACAUUUCUCUUAACCAUGACAGGAGAAAGCAAACAGUGAAACAGAAUCAUGGGUGAUCUUUCUCACUUUCCCUCUUGUUUUCAUUGGUUUGUCCAUAC
rnacentral:lncRNA from 1 species